rnacentral:rRNA from 1 species
ACGAACGCUGGCGGCUUGCUUAACACCUGCAAGUCGCACGGAAAGGCCCUGCUUUUGUGGGGUGCUCGAGUGGCGAACGGGUGAGUAACACGUGAGUAACCUGCCCUUGACUUUGGGAUAACUUCAGGAAACUGGGGCUAAUACCGGAUAGGAGCUCCUGCUGCAUGGUGGGGGUUGGAAAGUUUCGGCGGUUGGGGAUGGACUCGCGGCUUAUCAGCUUGUUGGUGGGGUAGUGGCUUACCAAGGCUUUGACGGGUAGCCGGCCUGAGAGGGUGACCGGCCACAUUGGGACUGAGAUACGGCCCAGACUCCUACGGGAGGCAGCAGUGGGGAAUAUUGCACAAUGGGCGGAAGCCUGAUGCAGCAACGCCGCGUGCGGGAUGACGGCCUUCGGGUUGUAAACCGCUUUCGCCUGUGACGAAGCGUGAGUGACGGUAAUGGGUAAAGAAGCACCGGCUAACUACGUG